rnacentral:tRNA from 1 species
GUUCGGAUAGCUCAGGUGGUUGGAGCAAAGGACUGAAAAUCUGGGUGUCAGUGGUUCGAAUCUACUUUCUUUAAACA